rnacentral:rRNA from 1 species
CAAUGGGCGCAAGCCUGAUCCAGCCAUGCCGCGUGGGUGAAGAAGGCCCUAGGGUUGUAAACCCCUUUCAGCGGGGAAGAUAAUGACGGUACCCGCAGAAGAAGCCCCGGCUAACUCCGUGCCAGCAGCCGCGGUAAUACGGAGGGGGCUAGCGUUGUUCGGAAUUACUGGGCGUAAAGCGCGCGUAGGCGGACCUGCAAGUCGGGGGUGAAAGCCCGAGGCUCAACCUCGGAACUGCCUUCGAUACUGCGGGUCUCGAGUCCGGGAGAGGUGAGUGGAAUUCCUAGUGUAGAGGUGAAAUUCGUAGAUAUUAGGAAGAACACCAGUGGCGAAGGCGGCUCACUGGCCCGGUACUGACGCUGAGGCGCGAAAGCGUGGGGAGCAAACAGGAUUAGAUACCCUGGUAGUCCACGCCGUAAACUAUGGGUGCUAGCCGUCGGUCGGCAUGCCGGUCGGUGGCGCAGCCAACGCAUUAAGCACCCCGCCUGGGGAGUAC